rnacentral:rRNA from 1 species
GACGAACCGAGCGAACGUUAUUCGGAAUCACUGGGCUUAAAGGGCGCGUAGGCGGGCGACCAAGUCAGGGGUGAAAGCCCCCAGCUCAACUGGGGAAGUGCCUCUGAUACUGGCCAUCUCGAGGGAGGUAGGGGCGUGCGGAACUUCCGGUGGAGCGGUGAAAUGCGUAGAUAUCGGAAGGAACACCGGUGGCGAAAGCGGCGCGCUGGACCUCUUCUGACGCUGAGGCGCGAAAGCCAGGGGAGCAAACGGGAUUAGAAACCCCAGUAGUCC